CAACAGCAUCCGAUGGGGGGAUAAGCCAUUGGUGGUGGAGGACAAGGUUCUGGAACCUUUGGUGGUGGUGGUGGUGGUGGUUCUUUUGGUUUCUCAGGUUCCUUAGGCUUUUCGGGUUCUUUCGGCUUUUCGGGUUGUUUCGGUUUCUCGGGUUCUUUGGGUUUUUCGGGUUCUUUCGGCUUUUCGGGUUGUUUAGGUUUCUCGGGUUCUUUGGGUUUUUCGGGUUCUUUUGGUUUUUCUGGUGCUUUAGGCUUUUCGGGUUCUUUUGGUUUUUCUGGUACUUUAGGCUUCUCAGGUUCUUUGGGUUUUUCAGGUUCUUUGGGCUUUUCGGGUUCUUUAGGCUUCUCAGGCUCCUUGGGUUUGGGAGGAGGAGGUGGAGGUUUGAUCUCAAUGCUCUUGAUUGAUCCAGCACCCUUGCAACAUAUCUUGUCCCUCAGCUUCUCAGGAUUGCAGCAUACCACG
rnacentral:lncRNA from 1 species